GACGAACGCUGGCGGCGUGCUUAACACAUGCCAGUCGAGCGGAAAGGCCCUUCGGGGUCCUCGAGCGGCGAACGGGUGAGUAACACGUGAGUAAUCUGCCCUUGGCUUUGGGAUAACUACCGGAAACGGUGGCUAAUACCGGAUACGACAACCGUCUGCAUGGGCUGGUUGUGGAAAGUUUUUUCGGCCAGGGAUGUGCUCGCGGCCUAUCAGCUUGUUGGUGGGGUAAUGGCCUACCAAGGCUUCGACGGGUAGCCGGCCUGAGAGGGUGACCGGCCACACUGGGACUGAGACACGGCCCAGACUCCUACGGGAGGCAGCAGUGGGGAAUAUUGGACAAUGGGCGGAAGCCUGAUCCAGCAACGCCGCGUGAGGGAUGACGGCCGUCGGGUUGUAAACCUCUUUCAGUACCGACGAAGCGCCGAUGAUGGUGGUGACGGUAGGUACAGAAGAAGCACCGGCCAACUACGUG
rnacentral:rRNA from 1 species